rnacentral:rRNA from 1 species
UGAGGAAUAUUGGACAAUGGGCGCAAGCCUGAUCCAGCAACGCCGCGUGGAGGACGAAGGUCUUCGGAUCGUAAACUCCUGUCAGGCGGGACGAAGGGACGUCGGCAAACAGCCGGCGUCUUUGACGGUACCGCCAGAGGAAGCCCCGGCUAACUCCGUGCCAGCAGCCGCGGUAAUACGGCGGGUGCGAGCGUUGCCCGGAAUCACUGGGCGUAAAGGGCGCGUAGGCGGCAUGCCAAGCGUGUGGUGAAAGCCCGGGGCUCAACCCCGGGUCGGCCGUGCGGACUGGCAUGCUCGAGCACUGUAGGGGCGGGUGGAAUUCCGGGUGUAGCGGUGGAAUGCGUAGAGAUCCGGAAGAACACCGGUGGCGAAGGCGGCCCGCUGGGCAGGAAGACCCCGCAAGGGGUCGGCUGACGCUGAGGCGCGACAGCGUGGGGAGCAAAC